GGGCUGUAAGAAAGAUGGGGACAGACUCUUUCAAAGUGUCUGCUGUGAUAGGACAGUGGUUUCAAACUAAAAGAGGGGAGAUUUAGACUGGUGUGUCGGGGUCAUAAAGGCCCUGACUGAAGAACGAUCCUGGGAAUGGAACAAAGUAUUCUGACAGUUUAAAGGGAACUGAUAUUUGUGGCUGUUGCUGCAAAUAUCUUGUUUUGUAGAGAGAGCUGACCUUAGUAGUUUAUCUUGUUUUUGCAAAGACUUGUUUUGCAAGCAGGUGUUCCACUUGGGCUCUGUAUCACGCGUUAGCCACGCGGGUACAGUGUGCAAGUGGAAAAAACCCUGCAGACCAUGGGGAGAAUAAAAGCAGGAGGGAGGCUGUGGUGGGGAGAGAGAGGAAAAGUGCCCCUUAAAGCAGGGGAGGCCCUGCUGGCACUGCCUAUCGAAUCCACCAGCGGCAUGUUCCUUCUCUUUCCUUUUUCGCAGUUUGCCAUCUCUCAAGGGAGAACCACAAUCUCCAUGUAACACAGAAGUGCACAGAGGAUGGACACAGAGUCUGCAGGCAGAAUUUGCUUCUGAGUUUCUGCAUGUCCUGUACAACAGCACUGAGCAGCACAACAGUGAAUGCAGCAUGAGGAAGUGAGACAAAUUAGAAGAACUGAGUUCUGAUGGUCAGUCUGAGCUGAAAGACAGGCUGCAGCUUCUGUCUGCAACUGAAGCCAAGUGGUCUGUAAUGCCUGCAAUUACAGCACUUUACAAACCGAAGAGGAAAGUCUUGACCAUAAGCCGAUUAAUUCUGAACUAAUUUUAAGGGUUCAGAAGACAUAAAAUACUUCAUUACUAAAGAUUUAAAUGUUGCACGUCUACAUGAAGAUAUAUAUAUUUGCUCAAAGUUCAGAAGAUUUGAGGGUAAAAUUAAUCAUCUUCCUUACACUUAAUUGCAUUCAGCCUUGAGAUACAUACUUCUAUGACUUCUGUAAAUUUGGCUUACAUUUAUUUUUGUAUAGCUACAGUUAUACAUGCAUCUCAUGUUGCUCCUUCUGUUUAUGUUCUCUGAUUUGGAAACACUGCUUUACUACAGGCAAAGUUGCUCUACAAGCAUUAACAUCCAUUCUGCCUUUGAAUACACAUGCAACAUAGCUUACCUGGAGAUAAAAAGAAUGGACUUCUGAGGGAUGUCUUUCCCAGGGGAUUUAUUUUUCCAGGAAGACACCUCUGCUACAAUAUUUCUUCAUGUAGGACUUCCUGAGCAUAGCCAUGCAAUAUUUAAAGUAAAGGCAUCAGAGGAAUGCAAUUUCUUCCAGACCACAACUCUCCAAAUUGUCUAAAGGAGGCAAAGGGAAAUGCUGCAGUUUAACGAGGAAAGAAAACUGACAGAAGACCACAAACCACAUGGUCAGGAGGUAUCCAACAAGGAUCUUUUACUCCCUUUCCACUGACAUCUUCCUGCUGCUCCAUCCUGUUCCCCUCUCUCAUCUAACCUCUGCUGAUGCUGAACAUCUCUACCCAAUCCACACGUGGCAUGCUUUGAAAUCCACCACUCGAUACCAUUUAACCACAGUCCCCUUCUCUAAAACCGAAUGAUUGACACAAUUUCAGAAGUCUCAGACUGACCCAGCAACUGAGAAUAAGCAGAAGCAGAAGCAUAGACACUGCUUUAAAACUGCAGCAUACGUCUGUGAACCAAUUGCAUGGUCAAGAAAUGUGGGCUGCAACUUUAGAUAUGCAGUCAUUUCAUGAAACCAGAUUUGGGGCAAUAGGGGUGAACAGUGGGGUUUCUGUGGUUCCUUUGGCUGAAGAGGUUCAUGUUUCUGGCACUGAGUGCAUUCAAACACUGUAGUAUGGAGACACCAAACGGAAAACCACUCAGGUAAGGAGUAAAAAGAUCGGGUGACAAUCGUAUUCUGAAGCUUUGUGGCUAUAGCAGUGUGUGAGCAACCUCUUCAGCUUCUGGGAAAUCUACUGCAAAUCAUGAUAACAGUGUACAAGACAUCUGUGCUGAGAACGUCUGCAACUCUAAGUAAUGAGGGCUGGCUGUGGAAAGUUCACAAAGGCUGUAUAUGGAAAGGUAAGAGUAAUACUGAAAUCAAAGCAGAGGCACCUUCACCUGCACUGCAAAGACACAUUAUUUUAGUUACUUUACUUGAUUUGUCAAAAAAGUUUUGAUUUUGAAGACUUUUAUAAUAAUUACACGUAGAAGUGGGCAAAUACGUGCAAUAUACAAACUACGUAGAAGAGGGAAAGCCUACAUGUGUUCUAAAGGACUGUUAUUUUUCUUUUUUCUUUGGAAUGCUUAUGGAUUUAAACACGUGCCUCCAGGUUACGGUUUAAAAUGGUCAUACAAUCACUGAAUAAGAUGAUAUUUGCAUGCAUCGUCACAGAUUCAGAGUACUUCUCUUUUCAAGGCUUUCCCUCCAUUUACAUACUUAGUAGGCUUUGACAGUUACGGUUUUACUUCCUCUUGCACAAGGAACAAUAAACCAUUUUGAAGAGGGUACUGUUGACCUUUGAUGUGACAAGAGCCUGUUGCUGGCUCACAUUAAACUUGGUGUCCACCAGGACAACCAGGUUCUUCUCAGCAAAACUUCCUUCCAGUCACUCGGUCCCCUAUGCAUACUGGCAUGUGAGGUUAUUCCUUCCCAGGUUCCACAAUUCCAUUUGUUAAAUUUCAUGCCGCUUUGUGAAACUUUCUCCAGCCUGCCAAAGCCCCUCUCCUCGUGUGGCAGCCACACCUCCCAGUCUUGUGCUAUCUCUGCAAGUUUGCAGGUGAUAAAUACUCUGUCACGGCAUCUGUGUCAGUGAUGAAGAAGUUAAGCAGUAUUAGGGUCAGUAUCAAGCCCUGGGCUAUACUACUAGGGACUGGCUAGCCACUGGAUUGUGUACCUCUAGUCCUCUGAGCCCAGCAGUUCAGUCAGCGUUCAGUCCACAUCAGAGUGUUCAAUCCACUUACCUAGGCCACACUUCAUAGGUUUAUAUCUUUGAGGAUGGCAUGGGAGACAACGUAGAAAACACGUUAAAAGUUGAGAUAAACAACACUGACUGCUCUCCCAAAUCCCCCAAGCCAUUUAUCCCAUUGCAGAAAGCUACCACGUUGGUUAAGCACUGUUUUCACUUUGUGAAUCCAUGCUGGCUACUCACCAUCACUUUCUUUUCCUUCACAUGUCUGCAGAUCAUUCCCAGAGUUUGAGGUGAAGCUGCCUUGACUGUAGUUCCCUGGAACCUCCCUCAGAACAGGCUGGCCAUUUCUGAAACUAGACAGAAACACACCCUGGCCAAGAUCUCAAACCAAAGCAAAUGGUGGUCACCUGUCAGCACUGCACAUAUCAACCAACUGCUGCCUACUCUAUACCUGAACAGAAACUAGCAUCACAUGGUGCAUAAAAGAAGACAGUCAUUUAUAGAUAUGACUUUAAAUUAAAGCACUGAAGCUUAUGAAUGACAUUCUCAGUCUACGUGAACUUAAAAAGGAAACGAUGAAGAAUCUCUUAUUCCUUCCUACCAUUCAUACAGCGUUAUGCAAGAAAGUAAAUCUUCACAAGCAUCUUCCUGUCCAAAAAAAAUAGGAAAGUGCAUCACUAAUAAUCAAAUUAACUUAAGACUCAGUAUGAACAUCAUUACUAUUGCCAUCCUGUUAAUUUCAGGACUGAUACAUACGCACAAAAGUUAGCAGUGUAGUUGAUAUAUAUAAGGAAGGGAGGAUAUAUUGGAAGCCACGGAGAAAGUUUAGAUGUGCUGUAGAGAAAAUGAAUGAGUUCUCUGCAGUAUGUUUCAGCUCUGUAGUAUGUCCCAGAGUUGAUUUUCUUCACAGUGGCUGGUAUGAUGCUACGUGUUGGCAUUAGGAGAAAAACUAUGUUGAUAACACACCGAUGUUUUUGUUGUUACUGAGUAGUGCUGUACAGAGCCAAGGUCAUUUUAGUUUCUCCAUUUCUUGUACUGUCCUGACAGCAAGGAAGCUGGUAGGGCACAAGGAGUGGAGGGGGGACAGAACCAGGACAGCUGACCUAAACUGCCCAAAGGGGUAUUCCAUGCCACAUGGCAUCAUGUGGAGGCUAUACAACUAAGGGGAGCAGCCACUGCUUAGGGACUGGCUGGUUAUCAGUCAGCGGGUGCUGACCAAUUGUGUUGUGCAUCACUUGUUUUGUAAAUAUAUGUGUAUAUUUAAUAAUUAGCAUCAUUACUAUUAUUUAUCUCUUCCUUUUUUUUUUUUUUUGUCCUAGUAAAUGGUUUUUAUCUCAACCUGUUGUUCAUAGUGCAGUUUUUACUUACUUUCAAGGUUGUUUUUCUUAACUCUGGCCAUGUUGUUCAUCACUCUGAAAGCUGGUCUAGGCUUAUUUAUGAUGUUUCCAGCUUGUAUAUAGCAUAUUCUCUUGUUAUAACACGAUCCGGUUGUGGAUUUAUUUUGGUACUUGUACUCAGCAGUGCACAUUCUCACACUUUAGGAACUUUAUCAUGGAAACUUAACAAGUACAUUCUUUACUCCAGGUGAGUUAAAAUAGUUGUUGAAAAUUUUGAGUAUACCUGGGAUAUUCAAACUAGAAUGACUUCAUUGCCAUGUCCUCUGUAUGCGUUUCUGGUUUUAUUUAUGGUUAAGAAACUAUUUAAAAAUAGCACGCAGAGAUCUCUCCUGAGGCAGGAUGGUUUGGGUGGCAAGGUAUGUGAGAGGACACGGGCAGGCAUCUAUCAUGAUUAUCACCUCCAGCGGGUUUGGAUCUCCAAAAUAGCUGACAGAAUGUUUUAAAAAGGUGUGACCUGAUCCUGGCAAUGCCAAAGCGUAACAGCUUACUGCACUGUGCUGUGGUCUGGCCUGCACCUAUCAAAUAUUCAGUGCUAUUCAGCACCCUCAAAAAUACGAAAAUGCUUCUGGAUCAGAUCCAAUUCAUGUGACAGGCCCUGUGGUAGACCCAACCCCUGUGACAAGCCCUGUAGUUGAACAGGAGAUCCAACCUAUACCAGUAACUGUUGCCCCCGCACAAGCAGAAACAAUGGAAGUACAAGUCAGCUCAUUGAGUAAGGAAGCAAGAAGAGGAUGAUGAAGGCUACUCUAUACCAGGGCCAUCACAAGAACAGGAGGAAGAGGCAGAGGCUAUAAGUGAGUCAAUAAC
ensembl:lncRNA